GACGAACGCUGGCGGCGUGCUUAACACAUGCAAGUCGAGCGGUAAGGCCCUUUCGGGGGUACACGAGCGGCGAACGGGUGAGUAACACGUAGGUGACCUGCCCUCAGCUCUGGGAUAAGCCUGGGAAACCGGGUCUAAUACUGGAUAUGACUCCAUGACGCAUGUUGUGGGGUGGAAAGCCUUGUGCGGCUGAGGAUGGGCCCGCGGCCUAUCAGCUUGUUGGUGGGGUGANGGCCUACCAAGGCGACGACGGGUAGCCGGCCUGAGAGGGCGACCGGCCACACUGGGACUGAGACACGGCCCAGACUCCUACGGGAGGCAGCAGUGGGGAAUCUUGCGCAAUGGGCGAAAGCCUGACGCAGCGACGCCGCGUGAGGGAUGACGGCCU
rnacentral:rRNA from 1 species